rnacentral:rRNA from 1 species
GUAGGUGGCAAGCGUUGUCCGGAAUUAUUGGGCGUAAAGCGCGCGCAGGCGGUUCUUUAAGUCUGAUGUGAAAGCCCACGGCUCAACCGUGGAGGGUCAUUGGAAACUGGAGAACUUGAGUACAGAAGAGGAAAGCGGAAUUCCACGUGUAGCGGUGAAAUGCGUAGAGAUGUGGAGGAACACCAGUGGCGGAGGCGGCUUUCUGGUCUGUAACUGACGCUGAGGCGCGAAAGCGUGGGGAGCAAACAGGAUUAGAUACCCUGGUAGUCCACGCCGUAAACGAUGAGUGCUAAGUGUUAGGGGGGUUUCCGCCCCCCUUAGUGCUGCAGCUAACGCAUUAAGCACUCCGCCUGGGAGUACGGCCGCAAGGCUG